AGAGUUUGAUCAUGGCUCAGAUUGAACGCUGGCGGCAGGCCUAACACAUGCAAGUCGAGCGGUAGCACAGAGAGCUUGCUCUCGGGUGACGAGCGGCGGACGGGUGAGUAAUGUCUGGGAAACUGCCUGAUGGAGGGGAUAACUACUGGAAACGGUAGCUAAUACCGCAUAACGUCGCAAGACCAAAGUGGGGGACCUUCGGGCCUCAUGCCAUCAGAUGUGCCCAGAUGGGAUUAGCUAGUAGGUGGGGUAAUGGCUCACCUAGGCGACGAUCCCUAGCUGGUCUGAGAGGAUGACCAGCCACACUGGAACUGAGACACGGUCCAGACUCCUACGGGAGGCAGCAGUGGGGAAUAUUGCACAAUGGGCGCAAGCCUGAUGCAGCCAUGCCGCGUGUAUGAAGAAGGCCUUCGGGUUGUAAAGUACUUUCAGCGAGGAGGAAGGCAUUAAGGUUAAUAACCUUGGUGAUUGACGUUACUCGCAGAAGAAGCACCGGCUAACUCCGUGCCAGCAGCCGCGGUAAUACGGAGGGUGCAAGCGUUAAUCGGAAUUACUGGGCGUAAAGCGCACGCAGGCGGUCUGUCAAGUCGGAUGUGAAAUCCCCGGGCUCAACCUGGGAACUGCAUUCGAAACUGGCAGGCUAGAGUCUUGUAGAGGGGGGUAGAAUUCCAGGUGUAGCGGUGAAAUGCGUAGAGAUCUGGAGGAAUACCGGUGGCGAAGGCGGCCCCUGGACAAAGACUGACGCUCAGGUGCGAAAGCGUGGGGAGCAAACAGGAUUAGAUACCCUGGUAGUCCACGCCGUAAACGAUGUCGACUUGGAGGUUGUGCCCUUGAGGCGUGGCUUCCGGAGCUAACGCGUUAAGUCGACCGCCUGGGGAGUACGGCCGCAAGGUUAAAACUCAAAUGAAUUGACGGGGGCCCGCACAAGCGGUGGAGCAUGUGGUUUAAUUCGAUGCAACGCGAAGAACCUUACCUACUCUUGACAUCCAGAGAACUUAGCAGAGAUGCUUUGGUGCCUUCGGGAACUCUGAGACAGGUGCUGCAUGGCUGUCGUCAGCUCGUGUUGUGAAAUGUUGGGUUAAGUCCCGCAACGAGCGCAACCCUUAUCCUUUGUUGCCAGCGGUUAGGCCGGGAACUCAAAGGAGACUGCCAGUGAUAAACUGGAGGAAGGUGGGGAUGACGUCAAGUCAUCAUGGCCCUUACGAGUAGGGCUACACACGUGCUACAAUGGCAUAUACAAAGAGAAGCGACCUCGCGAGAGCAAGCGGACCUCAUAAAGUAUGUCGUAGUCCGGAUUGGAGUCUGCAACUCGACUCCAUGAAGUCGGAAUCGCUAGUAAUCGUAGAUCAGAAUGCUACGGUGAAUACGUUCCCGGGCCUUGUACACACCGCCCGUCACACCAUGGGAGUGGGUUGCAAAAGAAGUAGGUAGCUUAACCUUCGGGAGGGCGCUUACCACUUUGUGAUUCAUGACUGGGGUGAAGUCGUAACAAGGUAACCGUAGGGGAACCUGCGGUUG
rnacentral:rRNA from 1 species